UACGGAGGGUGCAAGCGUUGUCCGGAAUCAUUGGGCGUAAAGGGCGCGUAGGUGGCCUGCUAAGCGUGCGGUGAAAGUCGGGGGCUCAACCCCCGAUCGGCCGUGCGAACUGGGAGGCUUGAGCACUGUAGAGGCAGGCGGAAUUCCGGGUGUAGCGGUGGAAUGCGCAGAUAUCAGGAGGAACACCGGUGGCGAAGGCGGGUCUCUGGGCAACAACUGACGCUGAGGAGCGAAAGCGUGGGGAGCGAACAGG
rnacentral:rRNA from 1 species